rnacentral:rRNA from 1 species
CAGUAGCCGCGGGAAUACGUAGGUGGCGAGCGUUGUCCGGAAUCAUUGGGCGUAAAGGGAGCGCAGGCGGGCAUGUAAGUCUUUCUUAAAAGUUCGGGGCUCAACCCCGUGAUGGGAAAGAAACUACAUGUCUUGAGUACAGGAGAGGAAAGCGGAAUCCCCAGUGUAGCGGUGAAAUGCGUAGAUAUUGGGAGGAACACCAGUGGCGAAGGCGGCUUUCUGGACUGCAACUGACGCUGAGGCUCGAAAGCCAGGGGAGCGAACGGGAUUAGAGACCCCCGUAGUCCCUGUCUCUUAUACA